GACCUGGAGCGACAGGUUUGCGAGAAAGCUCCUCCCUGGAUGAGGCCAAGAGCGUGGGAGUGAGUUCCAGGCUCCCAGAAGUGGGAAGUAUUUUGGAAGUAUUUUGGAUUUAGGCGGUAAAGAAUUCCCUAUAAAAAUAGCUGAACAGAUUGGCCUCAUAUCACUGUGGGACUUUCUUGGAACAUGAGGAGAGUUGGGUGAUAGGAACACAAGGAGCAGAGAACGCACUGGCCUCUGACAGCCGCUCUGUGCAGAUUCAGUCCUUCAGCCACCCGCAGGAAUUGCCGCCAGAGUAGGACAUGUCUUCUACCCUCUUGGAAGUGAUGAAACCACCUUUCAGAAAUUACAGCAGUGAGAAAACUAUGACGUUGAAAGAUACCUGAUCUAACCAACCCCCAUCCUGCCUUUGACCUCCAAACUGUCUUUCAUCACUCCUAGGCCUGGGCCAAACUAAUUUUGGAAGAUAUUUAUAGUUUAAACGAUAAUAGCCCUUCUCCCGAACUGAACUGCCUGUGUAAAGCUAAUGAAAGGCCAGUAGGUUAGGAGGAUGAGAGGAGCCUGGAUUCUGCUAAAAUAUAGAUGUAAACGACGACCAGCCAUUACUCUGGAGGUCACAAGAUUUGCAGCUUCUGCAGAUAAACAUCACUAUUGUAGAACCUAAGAUUGGCCGUUUGAGAUGUCCUUUCAAGUUUUUGCAUUUCUGAUGUCCGACUGAUCCUGUGGCCCCACUCAGAAGCGGACUCCCUGGCCUGCUAAACUACCCUUGAAAUACAGUAGCCUCCAAAUUUUCAGGGAAAUUGAUUUAAGUAAUGGUCAGGCC
rnacentral:lncRNA from 10 species